GAUGAAGAACGUAGUGAAAUGCGAUAAUUAAUGUGAAUUGCAGAAUUCAGUGAAUCAUCGAGUCUUUGAACGCACAUUGCGCCCCCUGGUAUUCCGGGGGGCAUGCCUGUCCGAGCGUCAUUGCUGCCCUCAAGCACGGCUUGUGUGUUGGGCUUCCGUCCCUGGCAACGGGGACGGGCCCAAAAGGCAGUGGCGGCACCAUGUCUGGUCCUCGAGCGUAUGGGGCUUUGUCACCCGCUCCCGUAGGUCCAGCUGGCAGCUAGCCUCGCAACCAAUCUUUUUAACCAGGUUGACCUCGGAUCAGGUAGGGAUACCCGCUGAACUUAGGCAUAUCAAUAAGCGGAGGA
rnacentral:misc_RNA from 1 species